rnacentral:rRNA from 12 species
AGAGGGUGACACUCCCGUCCGCCCGGCCCUCUGAGCUUGUGUAUUCGAGUCGAGUUGUUUGGGAUUGCAGCUCUAAGCGGGUGGUAAAUUCCAUCGAAAGCUAAAUACUGGUGGGAGACCGAUAGCGUACAAGUACCGUGAGGGAAAGAUGCAAAGAAGCGCGAAAGCGCUGUUAAAGAGUACCUGAACUUGCUGAAACGGAAGCGAAGGAAACCA